rnacentral:rRNA from 1 species
UACGGAGGGUGCGAGCGUUGUUCGGAAUCACUGGGCGUAAAGGGCGUGUAGGCGGUCCGCUAAGUCUGAUGUGAAAGCCCGGGGCUUACCCCCGGAAGGGCAUUGGAAACUGGCGAACUCGAGUCCCGGAGAGGAAGGUGGAAUUCCUGGUGUAGCGGUGAAAUGCGUAGAUAUCAGGAGGAACACCGAUGGCGAAGGCAGGUCUCUGGGCAUUAACUGACGCUGAGGAGCGAAAGCAUGGGGAGCGAACAGG